rnacentral:rRNA from 1 species
CCUACGGGUGGCAGCAGUGGGGAAUAUUGCACAAUGGGCGAGACCCUGAUGCAGCAACGCCGCGUGAAGGAUGACUGUCUUCUGAGUUGUAACUUCUGUUCUUAGUGGAGAAUAGUUCCGUUUGCUAACGAUCACGCCACUGCUAACUACGUACCAGCAGCCUCGGUCCUACGGAGGUGGCGAGCGUAGUCCGGAUUUACUGGGUGUAACGGGAGCUCAGGCGGGAAGCGAAGUCAGCUGUGAAAACUACGGGCUUAACUUGUAGACUGCAGUUGAAACUGGUUGUCUUGAGUGAAGUAGAGGUGGGCGGAAUUCCGAGUGUAGCGGUGAAAUGCGUAGAUAUUCGGAGGAACACCGGUGGCGAAGGCGGCCAACUGGGCUGUAACUGACGCUGAGGCUCGAAAGUGUGGGGAGCAAACAGGAUUAGAUACCCCUGUAGUC